AUUGAACGCUGGCGGCAGGCCUAACACAUGCAAGUCGAACGAGUGGCGGACGGGUGAGUAAUGUCUGGGAAACUGCCUGAUGGAGGGGGAUGACUACUGGAACCGGUAGCUAAUACCGCAUACCAUCGGAUGUGCCAAGAUGGGAUAAGCUAGUAGGGGGGGUAACGGCUCACCUAGGCGACGAUCCCUAGCUGGUCUGAGAGGAUGACCAGCCACACUGCAACUGAGACACGGUCCAGACUCCUACGGGAGGACGCAGUGGAGAAUAUUGCACAAUGGGCGCAAGCCUGAUGCAUCCAUGCCGCGUGUAUGAAGAAGGCCUGCGGGUUGUAAAGUACUUUCAGCGGGGAGGCGUUACCCGCAGAAGAAGCACCGGCUAACUCCGUGCCAGCAGCCGCGGUAAUAC
rnacentral:rRNA from 1 species